rnacentral:rRNA from 1 species
UACGGAGGGUGCGAGCGUUGUCCGGAAUCACUGGGCGUAAAGGGCGCGUAGGCGGCUUCUCAAGCGUGUGGUGAAAGUCCGGGGCUCAACCCCGGAUCGGCCGUGCGGACUGGGGAGCUCGAGUUCUGUAGAGGCGGGUGGAAUUCCACGUGUAGCAGUGAAAUGCGUAGAGAUGUGGAGGAACACCGAUGGCGAAGGCAGCCCCCUGGGCCAAUACUGACGCUCAUGCACGAAAGCGUGGGGAGCAAACAGG